AAGCAGCUCUGGCGACAGUCAUUUGGUUGCUGUCUGCUUCAGACGCAACACCACUGAUGAAAACGAUCACCUUCAACACCACUUGGAGACCACACUAGGCUUGGUCCAAAAAAGGUCUUCAAACAAGUGAAGUCUCUCCUCGACUGGACUUAAAUAAGGUACUGGUCCCACAGACGUCAUCUGCCUUAUGGCCAUGUUAGGACAUUUUCUUCUGUUUUUGUUGUAAUGUGAUUUUUUUUUUUUUUUUUUUUUCCAAGCCUAUUAUCC